rnacentral:rRNA from 3 species
GGUUAAGCGACUAAGCGUACACGGUGGAUGCCCUGGCAGUCAGAGGCGAUGAAGGACGUGCUAAUCUGCGAUAAGCGUCGGUGAGGUGAUAUGAACCGUUAUAACCGGCGAUUUCCGAAUGGGGAAACCCAGUGUGUUUCGACACACUAUCAUUAACUGAAUCCAUAGGUUAAUGAGGCGAACCGGGGGAACUGAAACAUCUAAGUACCCCGAGGAAAAGAAAUCAACCGAGAUUCCCCCAGUAGCGGCGAGCGAACGGGGAGGAGCCCAGAGCCUGAAUCAGUGUGUGUGUUAGUGGAAGCGUCUGGAAAGGCGUGCGAUACAGGGUGACAGCCCCGUACACAAAAAUGCACAUAUUGUGAGCUCGAUGAGUAGGGCGGGACACGUGGUAUCCUGUCUGAAUAUGGGGGGACCAUCCUCCAAGGCUAAAUACUCCUGACUGACCGAUAGUGAACCAGUACCGUGAGGGAAAGGCGAAAAGAACCCCGGCGAGGGGAGUGAAAAAGAACCUGAAACCGUGUACGUACAAGCAGUGGGAGCCUCUUAAUGGGGUGACUGCGUACCUUUUGUAUAAUGGGUCAGCGACUUAUAUUCUGUAGCAAGGUUAACCGAAUAGGGGAGCCGAAGGGAAACCGAGUCUUAACUGGGCGUUAAGUUGCAGGGUAUAGACCCGAAACCCGGUGAUCUAGCCAUGGGCAGGUUGAAGGUUGGGUAACACUAACUGGAGGACCGAACCGACUAAUGUUGAAAAAUUAGCGGAUGACUUGUGGCUGGGGGUGAAAGGCCAAUCAAACCGGGAGAUAGCUGGUUCUCCCCGAAAGCUAUUUAGGUAGCGCCUCGUGAAUUCAUCUCCGGGGGUAGAGCACUGUUUCGGCAAGGGGGUCAUCCCGACUUACCAACCCGAUGCAAACUGCGAAUACCGGAGAAUGUUAUCACGGGAGACACACGGCGGGUGCUAACGUCCGUCGUGAAGAGGGAAACAACCCAGACCGCCAGCUAAGGUCCCAAAGUCAUGGUUAAGUGGGAAACGAUGUGGGAAGGCCCAGACAGCCAGGAUGUUGGCUUAGAAGCAGCCAUCAUUUAAAGAAAGCGUAAUAGCUCACUGGUCGAGUCGGCCUGCGCGGAAGAUGUAACGGGGCUAAACCAUGCACCGAAGCUGCGGCAGCGACACUAUGUGUUGUUGGGUAGGGGAGCGUUCUGUAAGCCUGUGAAGGUGGCCUGUGAGGGUUGCUGGAGGUAUCAGAAGUGCGAAUGCUGACAUAAGUAACGAUAAAGCGGGUGAAAAGCCCGCUCGCCGGAAGACCAAGGGUUCCUGUCCAACGUUAAUCGGGGCAGGGUGAGUCGACCCCUAAGGCGAGGCCGAAAGGCGUAGUCGAUGGGAAACAGGUUAAUAUUCCUGUACUUGGUGUUACUGCGAAGGGGGGACGGAGAAGGCUAUGUUGGCCGGGCGACGGUUGUCCCGGUUUAAGCGUGUAGGCUGGUUUUCCAGGCAAAUCCGGAAAACCAAGGCUGAGGCGUGAUGACGAGGCACUACGGUGCUGAAGCGACAAAUGCCCUGCUUCCAGGAAAAGCCUCUAAGCAUCAGGUAACAUCAAAUCGUACCCAAAACCGACACAGGUGGUCAGGUAGAGAAUACCAAGGCGCUUGAGAGAACUCGGGUGAAGGAACUAGGCAAAAUGGUGCCGUAACUUCGGGAGAAGGCACGCUGAUAUGUAGGUGAAGCGACUUGCUCGUGGAGCUGAAAUCAGUCGAAGAUACCAGCUGGCUGCAACUGUUUAUUAAAAACACAGCACUGUGCAAACACGAAAGUGGACGUAUACGGUGUGACGCCUGCCCGGUGCCGGAAGGUUAAUUGAUGGGGUUAGCGGUAACGCGAAGCUCUUGAUCGAAGCCCCGGUAAACGGCGGCCGUAACUAUAACGGUCCUAAGGUAGCGAAAUUCCUUGUCGGGUAAGUUCCGACCUGCACGAAUGGCGUAAUGAUGGCCAGGCUGUCUCCACCCGAGACUCAGUGAAAUUGAACUCGCUGUGAAGAUGCAGUGUACCCGCGGCAAGACGGAAAGACCCCGUGAACCUUUACUAUAGCUUGACACUGAACAUUGAGCCUUGAUGUGUAGGAUAGGUGGGAGGCUUUGAAGUGUGGACGCCAGUCUGCAUGGAGCCGACCUUGAAAUACCACCCUUUAAUGUUUGAUGUUCUAACGUUGGCCCGUAAUCCGGGUUGCGGACAGUGUCUGGUGGGUAGUUUGACUGGGGCGGUCUCCUCCUAAAGAGUAACGGAGGAGCACGAAGGUUGGCUAAUCCUGGUCGGACAUCAGGAGGUUAGUGCAAUGGCAUAAGCCAGCUUGACUGCGAGCGUGACGGCGCGAGCAGGUGCGAAAGCAGGUCAUAGUGAUCCGGUGGUUCUGAAUGGAAGGGCCAUCGCUCAACGGAUAAAAGGUACUCCGGGGAUAACAGGCUGAUACCGCCCAAGAGUUCAUAUCGACGGCGGUGUUUGGCACCUCGAUGUCGGCUCAUCACAUCCUGGGGCUGAAGUAGGUCCCAAGGGUAUGGCUGUUCGCCAUUUAAAGUGGUACGCGAGCUGGGUUUAGAACGUCGUGAGACAGUUCGGUCCCUAUCUGCCGUGGGCGCUGGAGAACUGAGGGGGGCUGCUCCUAGUACGAGAGGACCGGAGUGGACGCAUCACUGGUGUUCGGGUUGUCAUGCCAAUGGCACUGCCCGGUAGCUAAAUGCGGAAGAGAUAAGUGCUGAAAGCAUCUAAGCACGAAACUUGCCCCGAGAUGAGUUCUCCCUGACUCCUUGAGGGUCCUGAAGGAACGUUGAAGACGACGACGUUGAUAGGCCGGGUGUGUAAGCGCAGCGAUGCGUUGAGCUAACCGGUACUAAUGAACCGUGAGGCUUAACCUU